GACGAACGCUGGCGGCGUGCUUAACACAUGCAAGUCGAGCGGAGCGGCGAACGGGUGAGUAACGCGUGAGUAACUGCCCCCCUCUCUGGGAUAACAGUUGGAAACGGCUGCUAAUCCCGGAUAGUGGGGGUUGACUCGCGUCCUAUCAGCUUGUUGGUGGGGUAGUGGCCUACCACGGCGACGACGGGUAGCCGGCCUGAGAGGGCGACCGGCCACAUUGGGCUGAGAUACGGACCAAAGUCCUACGUGAGGCAGCAGUGGGGAAUAGUGCACUAUGGGGGAAACCAUGAUGAAGCAACGCGCGUGCGGGAGGACGGCCUUCGGGUUGUAAACCGCUUUCAGCCAUGAUGGGGGAGUGGCAGAAGAAGCACCGGCUAACUACGUGCCAGCAGCCGCGGUAAUUC
rnacentral:rRNA from 1 species